AUUGAACGCUGGCGGCAGGCUUAACACAUGCAAGUCGAGCGGAGCGAGGGUGCUUGCACCUUAGCUUAGCGGCGGACGGGUGAGUAAUGCUUAGGAAUCUGCCUAUUAGUGGGGGACAACAUUCCGAAAGGGAUGCUAAUACCGCAUACGCCCUACGGGGGAAAGCAGGGGAUCUUCGGACCUUGCGCUAAUAGAUGAGCCUAAGUCGGAUUAGCUAGUUGGUGGGGUAAAGGCCUACCAAGGCGACGAUCUGUAGCGGGUCUGAGAGGAUGGUCCGCCACACUGGAAGUGAGACACGGCCCAGACUCCUACGGGAGGCAGGAGUGGGGAAUAUUGGACAAUGGGGGGAACCCUGAUCCAGCCAUGCCGCGUGUGUGAAGAAGGCCUUUUGGUUGUAAAGCACUUUAAGCGAGGAGGAGGCGCUCUAGGUUAAUACCCUAGAUGCGUGGACGUUACUCGCAGAAUAAGCACCGGCUAACUCUGUGCCAGCAGCCGCUGUAACAC
rnacentral:rRNA from 1 species